CUACGGGAGGCUGCAGUGGGGAAUAUUGCGCAAUGGGCGAAAGCCUGACGCAGCGACGCCGCGUGAGUGAUGAAGGAUUUCGGUUCGUAAAGCUCUGUGGGAGAGGGAAGAACAAGUGAUGGGAAUAAUACCCCAUUGCCCUGACGGUACUUCUCCAGAAAGCACCGGCUAACUCCGUGCCAGCAGCCGCGGUAAUACGGAGGGUGCAAACGUUGUUCGGAAUCACUGGGCGUAAAGCGCGUGUAGGCGGCUUUGCAAGUCAGAUGUGAAAGCCCGGGGCUUAACCUCGGAAGUGCAUUUGAAACUGCAAGGAUCGAGUACGGGAGAGGAUUGUAGAAUUCCUGGUGUAGAGGUGAAAUUCGUAGAUAUCAGGAGGAAUACCGGUGGCGAAGGCGGCAAUCUGGACCGAUACUGACGCUGAGACGCGAAAGCGUGGGGAGCAAACAGGAUUAGAUACCCUCGUAGUC
rnacentral:rRNA from 1 species